rnacentral:misc_RNA from 1 species
GUAAACCCGCGUUAGGGAUAGUAUUGAAAAGCCCACAGCCCGACGCAGGAGGUGCGAGGACUUGUAAAGGAUAGCCCGACCCUUU